UACGGGGGGGGCAAGCGUUGUUCGGAAUUACUGGGCGUAAAGGGCGCGUAGGCGGCCUGCUAAGUCGGACGUGAAAUCCCUCGGCUCAACCGGGGAACUGCGUCCGAUACUGGCGAGGCUUGAAUCCGGGAGAGGGAUGUGGAAUUCCAGGUGUAGCGGUGAAAUGCGUAGAUAUCUGGAGGAGCACCAGUGGCGAAGGCGGCAUCCUGGACCGGCAUUGACGCUGAGGCGCGAAAGCUAGGGUAGCAAACGGG
rnacentral:rRNA from 1 species